rnacentral:rRNA from 1 species
CAAUAGCGUAUAUUAAAGUUGUUGCAGUUAAAAAGCUCGUAGUUGGAUUUCUGGUCGGAAGCUCCUGUCCUCUGAUGAGCGUACAAGUGCGUCCUACCAUCCUUCUGUUAACCUUUAAGGCUUUCGCGGCUUUCUAGGGGCUCAGAUAUUUUACCUUGAGAAAAUUAGAGUGUUUCAGGCAGGCUAGCGCCGGAAUACAUUAGCAUGGAAUAAUGGAAUAGGACUUUUGCCUCUUCUGUUGGUCAUGAGGCUCGAGUAAUGAUUAAUAGGGAUAGUUGGGGGCAUUAGUACUUAACUGUCAGAGGUGAAAUUCUCGGAUUUGUUAAAGACUAACUUAUGCGAAAGCAUUUGCCGAGGAUGUUUUCAUUAA